GUCCCCUCCGGGGGACAUAUAAUAAAAUUGGAACGAUACAGAGAAGAUUAGCAUGGCCCCUGCACAAGGAUGACACGCUUUACCAGAGAUGGUCGAUCUACGGAUCGAAAUAUUUUUUU
rnacentral:snRNA from 1 species